AACGAACGCUGGCGGCAUGCCUAACACAUGCAAGUCGAACGAGACCUUCGGGUCUAGUGGCACACGGGUGCGUAACGCGUGGGAACCUGCCCUUAGGUUCGGAAUAACUCCCCGAAAGGGGUGCUAAUACCGGAUAAUGUCUUCGGACCAAAGAUUUAUCGCCUUUGGAUGGGCCCGCGUUGGAUUAGCUAGUUGGUAGGGUAAAAGCCUACCAAGGCGACGAUCCAUAGCUGGUCUGAGAGGAUGAUCAGCCACACUGGGACUGAGACACGGCCCAGACUCCUACGGGAGGCAGCAGUGGGGAAUAUUGGACAAUGGGCGAAGGCCUGAUCCAGCAAUGCCGCGUGAGUGAUGAAGGCCUUAGGGUUGUAAAGCUCUUUUACCCGGGAUGAUAAUGACAGUACCGGGAGAAUAAGCUCCGGCUAACUCCGUG
rnacentral:rRNA from 1 species